GUAGAUGCUCAUUCCAUCUCUUAUGCUCGCCUUCUGGCCUCAUAAACUCAGGAAUGACGCAGAGCCGUUUACGGUGCUUAUCGUCCGAUGACAGAUGUCGCUUAGGCCUCAUCAGACACCAUGGACAUAACGUUGAGUGAAGCACCCAUUGUUGUCAUAAAGACCUGUUUUAACGCCUGCUCCUGUGAGCAGGCGUUUUUUU
rnacentral:sRNA from 1 species